rnacentral:sRNA from 2 species
GCGCGAGUACCGCCGAGUCGCCGCAAGGCGAGCCGGGGACCCAAUUGGGUAUUCCUGAACAGGGCCCCGGGGUGAAUCCGUGCUCACGCACGGUAGGGCGAUCUUCCCGCCCGAACCCGUCAGCUAACCCGGUAGGCGGUCAUCGGAAGAAAG